rnacentral:rRNA from 1 species
CGGCGUCCUAUACAUGCAGUCGAACGAACUCUGGUAUUGAUUGGUGCUUGCAUCAUGAUUUACAUUUGAGUGAGUGGCGAACUGGUGAGUAACACGUGGGAAACCUGCCCAGAAGCGGGGGAUAACACCUGGAAACAGAUGCUAAUACCGCAUAACAACUUGGACCGCAUGGUCCGAGCUUGAAAGAUGGCUUCGGCUAUCACUUUUGGAUGGUCCCGCGGCGUAUUAGCUAGAUGGUGGGGUAACGGCUCACCAUGGCAAUGAUACGUAGCCGACCUGAGAGGGUAAUCGGCCACAUUGGGACUGAGACACGGCCCAAACUCCUACGGGAGGCAGCAGUAGGGAAUCUUCCACAAUGGACGAAAGUCUGAUGGAGCAACGCCGCGUGAGUGAAGAAGGGUUUCGGCUCGUAAAACUCUGUUGUUAAAGAAGAACAUAUCUGAGAGUAACUGUUCAGGUAUUGACGGUAUUUAACCAGAAAGCCACGGCUAACUACGUGCCAGCAGCCGCGGUAAUACGUAGGUGGCAAGCGUUGUCCGGAUUUAUUGGGCGUAAAGCGAGCGCAGGCGGUUUUUUAAGUCUGAUGUGAAAGCCUUCGGCUCAACCGAAGAAGUGCAUCGGAAACUGGGAAACUUGAGUGCAGAAGAGGACAGUGGAACUCCAUGUGUAGCGGUGAAAUGCGUAGAUAUAUGGAAGAACACCAGUGGCGAAAGCGGCUGACUGGUCGGUAACUGACGCUGACGCACGAACGUAUGUGUAGCAGACAGGAUUACAUAAACUGCAAGGCUUUACCGUCAACGAUGAAAGCUCAGUGUU